rnacentral:rRNA from 1 species
AGACGACUCUCGGCAACGGAUAUCUCGGCUCUCGCAUCGAUGAAGAACGUAGCGAAAUGCGAUACUUGGUGUGAAUUGCAGAAUCCCGUGAACCAUCGAGUCUUUGAACGCAAGUUGCGCCCGAGGCCACUCGGCCGAGGGCACGCCUGCCUGGGCGUCACGCCACCCAU